rnacentral:rRNA from 1 species
AUUGAACGCUGGCGGCAGGCCUAACACAUGCAAGUCGAACGGUAACAGAAAGCAGCUUGCUGCUUUGCUGACGAGUGGCGGGCGGGUGAGUAAUGUCUGGGAAACUGCCAGAUGGAGGGGGAUAACUACUGGAAACGGUAGUUAAUACCGCAUAACGUCGCAAGACCAAAGAGGGGGAGCUUCGGGCCUCUUGCCUUCGGCUGUGCCCAGAUGGGAUUAGCUAGUAGGUGGGGUAACGGCUCACCUAGGCGACGAUCCCUAGCUGGUCUGAGAGGAUGACCAGCCACACUGGAACUGAGACACGGUCCAGACUCCUACGGGAGGCAGCAGUGGGGAAUAUUGCGCAAUGGGCGCAAGCCUGAUGCAGCCAUGCCGCGUGUAUGAAGAAGGCCUUCGGGUUGUAAAGUACUUUCAGCGGGGAGGAAGAGAGUAAAGUUAAUAUCUGUACACAUUGACGUUACCCGCAGAAGAAGCACCGGCUAACUCCGUG